AUUGAACGCUGGCGGCAGGCUUAACACAUGCAAGUCGAACGAGUGGCGGACGGGUGAGUAAUGCUUGGGAAUCUAGCUUAUGGAGGGGGAUAAAUACGGGAAACUGUAGCUAAUACCGCAUACCAUCGGAUGUGCCCAGAUGGGAUUAGCUAGUAGGUGGGGUAAAGGCUCACCUAGGCGACGAGCCCUAGCUGGUCUGAGAGGAUGACCAGCCACACUUGAACUGGGACACGGUCCAGACUCCUACGGGAGGCAGCAGUGGGGAAUAUUGCGCAAUUGGGUCAACCCUGACGCAGCCAUGCCGCGUGUAUGAAGAAGGCCUUUGGGUUGUAAAGUACUUUCAGCGAGGAGGCGUUACCCGCAGAAGAAUCACCGGCUAACUCCGUGCCAGGCGGCGGGGUAAUUC
rnacentral:rRNA from 1 species